rnacentral:lncRNA from 1 species
AUUUUGUGUUGUAUAUUAAAUUUAUAGCAUCUGAUAUCAAGUGUUAUUACUGACCAACGUGAUGACCUCUCAGAUCCACAAAACUAGAGGAAAUCAACUACUAGAACAACCAUGAUUGGUAAAAAUAACAGUCUUCUAGCUACAUUUUAGAUAAAGUUAUGAUAGUUAAGCCCACUGCUCCUAAGGUACUACUGAUGUCAUUGAUCUUGUCUUCUGGGAGUUCAACCACCAAAGUGAAGAGACCAACACUAAAAGCCGCAGCAAGAACAGAUUGGCUUAUAUUGCUGGACUCUCGAAGAUCAAGCUACACCCCAAACUGCCUUUCAGAGACGAUGAGCUCAGCUUACACUGAAGUUGAUUUCAGACUUUCCAUCCACUCCUUGAGAAUUGCUGCAUUAGAACUUCUCACUGUGCAAAUCUAAUAGAUUUUCAAAUGGAAAAUGGACACCAUUAACCACUUUACCUGGUUCUUAAGUUUGAAGAAACAGUGAUCUCUUUUAAUUCUGUAAGGAAAAUCAUAUGUAGCAAAUUUGUUUUAAAAAAUGAUAUUUCCUAGUUA